CUGCGAGACCUACAAGUCGAGCAGGGACGAAAGUCGGGCUUAGUGAUCCGGUGGUUCCGCAUGGAAGGGCCAUCGCUCAACGGAUAAAAGCUACCCCGGGGAUAACAGGCUUAUCUCCCCCAAGAGGCCACAUCGACGGGGAGGUUUGGCACCUCGAUGUCGGCUCAUCGCAUCCUGGGGCUGUAGUCGGUCCCAAGGGUUGGGCUGUUCGCCCAUUAAAGCGGUACGCGAGCUGGGUUCAGAACGUCGUGAGACAGUUCGGUCCCUAUCCGUCGCGGGCGCAGGAAAUUUGAGAGGAGCUGUCCUUAGUACGAGAGGACCGGGAU
rnacentral:rRNA from 1 species